rnacentral:tRNA from 1 species
GGUAGCUCAGUGGUAAAGAGCCACCUGCCUGCCAUGCAGGAGCUGCAGGUUCGAUUCCUGAAUCC